AUUGAACGCUGGUGGCAGGCUUAACACAUGCAAGUCGAGCGGCAGCAAGCCUUCGGGCGUUGGCGAGCGGCGGACGGGUGAGUAAUGCAUAGGAAUCUGCCUGGUAGUGGGGGAUAGCCCGGGGAAACUCGGAUUAAUACCGCAUACGCCCUACGGGGGAAAGGAGGGGAUCUUCGGACCUUUCGCUAUCAGAUGAGCCUAUGUCGGAUUAGCUAGUUGGUGAGGUAAAGGCUCACCAAGGCGACGAUCCGUAACUGGUCUGAGAGGAUGAUCAGUCACACUGGAACUGAGACACGGUCCAGACUCCUACGGGAGGCAGCAGUGGGGAAUAUUGGACAAUGGGGGAAACCCUGAUCCAGCCAUGCCGCGUGUGCGAUGAAGGCCCUCGGGUCGUAAAGCUCUGUGGAGAGGGACGAAAACCCUGGUUUCAAAUAGGCUCCAGGCUUGACGGUACCUCUUUAGCAAGCACCGGCUAACUCUGUGCCAGCAGCCG
rnacentral:rRNA from 1 species